AACGAACGCUGGCGGCAUGCCUAACACAUGCCAGUCGAACGAGACCUUCGGGUCUAGUGGCGCACGGGUGCGUAACGCGUGGGAACCUGCCCUUAGGUUCGGAAUAACUCCCCGAAAGGGGUGCUAAUACCGGAUAAUGUCUUCGGACCAAAGAUUUGUCGCCUUUGGAUGGGCCCGCGUUGGAUUAGCUAGUUGGUAGGGUAAAAGCCUACCAAGGCGACGAUCCAUAGCUGGUCUGAGAGGAUGAUCAGCCACACUGGGACUGAGACACGGCCCAGACUCCUACGGGAGGCAGCAGUGGGGAAUAUUGGACAAUGGGCGAAAGCCUGAUCCAGCAAUGCCGCGUGAGUGAUGAAGGCCUUAGGGUUGUAAAGCUCUUUUACCCGGGAUGAUAAUGACAGUACCGGGAGAAUAAGCUCCGGCUAACUCCGU
rnacentral:rRNA from 1 species